rnacentral:sRNA from 1 species
UCUUCCUCUCUCUCCAAUUCAUAGAUUUGUAUUUAUUCACUUUUUAAUAAUUCAUCACAGUCAUUUUUGGUGCUCAAAAUGUCUAUAUUGCAGCCAGCAGACCCCCUUGAAGCUGGCCUCCUUGUGUCUUUUUGUAACAUGCCCAUUAGUCUUUAAGCACUUCUUUGCUUUCUGGUACUAGAUAUUCCAGGCAUAAUUUGUACUUUUCCUACUCCAGUCAUGGAAUUCAGCCAUUUCCACAGGAAUCUCUGCUUUUUUCAAAUACCAGUAAGAAAGUAUUUAGAAACUAAGACCUGGAAUUAGGAAAGCUAACUUCUGCCAGGGUAUUGUUGCUUUCAGAGCCUUUCAGUGGACAGAACUAAGAAAUAUAUAUAUUUUGUUUGUUUGUUUGUUUGUUUUGUUUUUGAGACAGGGUCUUGCUCUUGUCGCCCAGGCUGGAGUGCAAUGACCUGAUCUUGGCUCACUGCAACCUCCACCUCCCAGGUUCAAGCGAUUCUCCUGCUUCAGCCUCCUGAGUAGCUGGGAUUACAGGCGUCAGCCACCAUGCCCGGCCAAGAAAUAUGUUUUUUAAAAAACACUUAUAUCAAUAAUUCCAAUUCAAAUUUACAUUACAGGAUUUUUGCUGUUUACUUCUUUUAUUUAUUAUACUGAAAAUCUUGGUUCCUAAUAACAUUAACAUAAUUACUUAUUUUCUUUGUCUUACAAUGUGUAAAAAUGAUUCAAAGUUAUAAUAUUAAAUAUUAAUAU